rnacentral:lncRNA from 1 species
CCUCCUGCCUGCGCCUUAAAAUGAUUGUGUUUCUUGCUAUAACCUAAAAACACCUUUAGCUCAGUUUAGCUUGGUAGUCAGAUGCAGCCAUUCAGUCAGCUUAGUAAAUAGCCAUUUAUUAAGACUUGCUCUUUAUUGGGAUAGAUGGUAAGCUAAGAGCAACCUGCCAGUGACUCACAGAAGGAGAAGAAUCAGAAAAAGAAAAACUAGACUCUGUCUCAAACACAGGCAAGAGGGAUGGCUUUGAAAACCCAAGAAACUGGUAAAGAAGAGCUAAACACCUCAGGUGAAAAGCUGAUGGUAUGCUGAUGGUAAAAAAGCCAAGCUGAAUGCUGUUCUAGCUACACAGACAAAGAGCUGAAAGAAGACACAAAACUUAUCCCAGAGCUGAGCCAGGUAUCCCCAAGAACAGAUGACAAACCCACAGUCUUCACAAGCCACCAACUCAGUAUUGGUGAAACUGAUUCCUCCAACAACAGAGGAUAGGAGUCCUAUUUGCCAUCUGAAAUGACUCAGUGGCCAGGCGCCAUCUUGAGAGCGAAGCUAUUGCUUAAAACUGAAUUCCUUGGGACACUGGGAACAGGGAACAGUCACAGGCAGAGACACUGAACUGGCCCUUCCAUAACCUCAAAUAAGAGAUGGCCCUAGGGAGCAGCUGUGGAGAGUAGGGAGGCUGGACAUUGACAAGCCAAAAGGAGCAAGAGCCUCAGCCACUGAAAUACCCCACCCUCACUGGCCAGGAACCGACAGAAUCCACUGCUAACUGCCCUGGCAUUUGAUGACCUGUACCUGAGGUGAUCAAGUGGAGCCACCUAGUUCCACAUUGUAGAGAUCCAGAACGCAUGCUCCAGGAGAAUGCUUGAAAUUGCCAGAUCCCUUUGUGCCUCCAGCUGGGUGAUUGAUACUUGGGGAUCUGGAAAGUUCUAAGGUGGUCCUCUCUCUGCCUGUGCAGAUCUCAGUGUCAUGGUUGCUUCUGUGCACUCCCAAUGCACUCAGAAAAUGUGUCCCUAUUAAAAUAUUACCCAGCCCAGGAAGUGUGAAAUGGGUAAGUGAAGAUGGAGAAACACUACCCACAACACUGAAAAAAAAAAAAAAAAAAAAAAAAGGUUAAAUGUGGCCAGAAGAGGAGCCUGGUAUACAAGGAAGAGACACUACAAUGCCAAGCCAGCUGUGGUGAACAUCUGUCCUAUACAGGCUCAGCAUCAACAUAGAUCACUAGAAUAUAAAGAAAGAAAAGCCAGAACUUCUCAUUGAACCAUUGAAAAGCAUUUAGAAAAGGCAGUAAUUGUUUCAAAGCAGCAUAGACAGCUGGAGCUGGCUAAGGUACCCUACUGUUCGGCCUGCAUGAAGGCAGAGACAGCAUUUGUGAAUGACAACUAAGGCACAAUUGGGAAGGGCAACCCCAAAGGAGCAAAUGGCAAAGAUAAAUCAGUUGAGGCCCACAAGGUCAUGCAAACCUGAAGAUAGUGGCAAGAUUUCCCUUUGAAACCCUCACUAUUAGUGCCUGUCUAAGAGUAUAAUGGAACUCCCCCGUGGAGCCAAGAGCAGCAUCACAUCUGGGCAUUGAGUCUUAUUUCUCAGGGUGAGUACUAAGCCGGGUGAUGGUUAUCAUGUCGUGGUGUGUCUGCCUAGAGCCUUGGCUUUUCCCCUACACUUUCACUGUCAUCACACCACAAAGCACAGCAUGGUGGAGCAGAGGCUUGAGAUGAGGUCUGGGCAGCUAUGACUUCCAUCCCUUUUUGUCACAUCAGCUGAAGUAACCCUCAGUAGCCUGCCUAGUGUUCCUAUGUGUCCCUCUGUGAAAAGU